UACGGGGGAGCAAGCGUUGUUCGGAUUUACUGGCGUAAAGGGCGCGUAGGCGGCCAGUGCAAGUCAGUUGUGAAAUCUCCGAGCUUAACUCGGAAAGGUCAACUGAUACUGCUCGGCUAGAGUGCGGAAGGGGCAACUGGAAUUCUUGGUGUAGCGGUGAAAUGCGUAGAUAUCAAGAGGAACACCUGCGGCGAAGGCGGGUGCUGGGCCGACACUGACGCUGAAGCGCGAAAGCUAGGGGAGCGAACGGG
rnacentral:rRNA from 1 species